ensembl:lncRNA
GGACAAACUGGAUUGCAUUGUGGAUUGCACAAUGGAUUGCACUGUGCUCUUGGAGCCUCCAGCAGAGAGGGGCUGUGAGAAUAAGUGCAAGGAAGGCUAUGGGUGCAUGAAGGGUCAACAGUGGGAACGCCAACAUUUAGUGGGAUAAACUAAGGGAGGAACAGAAGUCAGUAAAAGGACAGGAUAGCACAAAGUAGAAUAGAUUAAUGCAGAAGAACAAUUUCUAUAAGCAAAAAAGCCCACACCUUGACACAGAAGGGAUUACUUUUUAAUAUCAUCCUCGUUGCUCUUCUGGUAUUCUUGAUUUCUCCAGCUUCGAUCUGGGACGUGCAGGAGGUGGCUGCUGCCAUCACAGGAGUUCCUCCCCCAGACAACCCACACCGUAAACGUUAUUGCCCUAUAAAGAGCACUCCGCAGCUUGUCAGGGAUCCCCAAAGCCGGCAUUAGGAAAUCAGCAGCAGGCACCAUCCCCAUCCCCCAGCCUGCUCCGCCAUUCACUUCCAAUUAUGCUAAAUCAGGACUCUGAAUUUUGGGUGAGAGCCAAACUGCCAAUCCCAUAAUCAGUUAUGAACAACGUGGGCAACAUCUAUCUAAUCUGUAAAUGACCGGCUAGUCUGAGAGGCUCCUGUAACGAGGCUGGAACAGCCUCUGCCUGGGUAAUUAUUCACGUCUGGAAAGGGGGAAGAAAUCCCCUCUGGGAAGUGCUGGUUUAUAGGGCAUCAAAACCUGGUGCAGCACAUUUCCUCAAGGGUAGGAAAAACUGUAGGAAAACGAGGGGAAAAAAAGGAGAUUUCAGGAUUGGAGUUGGGGUUUUGGUUGCUUUCAGGGACAAGAACUGUGACCACAGGGCUUGUGGGCAUCAUCAGGUGUGAGAUGAUCGCAGCAAUGCAGGUGCAGCAGCGGAGGGGUGAUGUUCCUUCUCCAGCCCCACGUGGGAGCAGCAUCUGGGGAAAACCAAAGCAAUGCCACCGCUUUGCUGGGUCUGAGCAUCCCUUGCACAGGUCCAAAGGCUCAGAAGAGAGGGAGUAAGCUUUAUGGGAACAGCUCACUUUUCCCUGCUACCGGGGUGCUCUCUGGCACUGCACGCUCCCUGCAUGGGCACGCAGGAGGAACUUCCAGCCUUCAUCGCUCACCCUUCAGCACAGAGCUGAGCCUCCAUCUGCUCUGACGCCUUUCCCAUCUCCUGCAGCCCUCAGCAGCACAGUUUGAAACUCAGUGCCCGCACAGCAACCGUGUGGAACCCCAAGGAGUUAUUCCAUCAGCAGCAUCACUACUGUGAUUUGCUGGAUCACCACUGCAAUCAGCUCCAGUGCCUAGCGAGGAACCUGAAGAGGAAGAGACAUAGGUAGAAAUGAAACAGAGAGAAAAGGACUUAAAGGAAGGGAGAGAAGGGGAGAGGUCAGGAAGGAUGAGAGCACCGCAAAGAAGUGGCCAAGCAAAGACAAUGCCUACAUGGGGAUUGCUGGCAGCUCACGGACACUGCCUUGUUUUUCCAGCAGCACUCUCAAGAGGAAAAGAUUUCAUCCCAAGUGCUGCUCCUUGAGCAGGCAAUCAUCUCUACCAUAACUGUGUGGGCUCUGGAGAAAUAAAUUAAGCCAGGCAGGCUCAAUCACAGUUGUGGCAGAGGCAAAGGAUUUAUGGCUGCAAGGCUCAGGGACGCAGGAUGCAGCGUGAUUCUGCAAACCCUCCUGCCCAGUGUUACAGGAGAUCACACUGGGUCCAGGCGACAAAGGAUGCCCUGGUCCCGUGGCACCCAUAUCCGGCAAGAAGAGUGCCUGUGUCCAAAAAAUAACAUUUCUAUGCCAUCUGGUAGGAUUAAGCAGCCCUGAGCAACUGCAUCCAGACCAUGGCAUCCAAGGAGAAACAUCAGACACCAAAGGUGCUUGGGUCCUGAGUGUCAGAAGGAAAUGUUUGGCUGCUUUGUACAAACGGGCAAGGGCAAAGCUAGAAAGCAGAGGUAUUUGCUUGUUCCUCACCCUUCACGUAAUGAAAAGCAAUAACAGAGAACAGUGGGAAGGAGAGGCACUAACAGCCUGGAUUUAUCCAGCUGUUGGAGAAAAAUCUCUACUGCUGACCUCUCGAUGAAAGUGUAGAUAACUGUUUUAGUUUUCAGAGAGGAUAGCCUCAAUUCUUGCAAAAAUCCCAUUUCUAGUCUUCAGGGGACUGAGCAGGGCCUUGAUCUAUAGCUCCAGUUUUCAAAGAGCAAAUGAAAUGCUUUCUCUUUUCAUCCAUAUCCCGCAAGGGCCAACCAUCAUGAAAAAUGGGAGCGCCUCCCUCGCAGGAGAUUACCAGUGAAAUUUCCUGGCUGAAAACCUGGGUUCUGUUCACCACUGCUAUUGUGGGUAAGAGUGUCCCAGGCCGACUCUUGCCUUUGAGAGCCUCCUGCAUUCAGCAUGCAAUGCAUGAUGGGGAGAAGGAAAGGAGGGGGGGUCAAGGGAAGGUGGGGAUUUAGGAGCUGGAGGAAGGAGGAAAAGGAAGAGGAAGAGGAGAGAGAGAAAGAAGGAGAAGGAGGACAAAGACAAAGCAAAGACAAAGAUGAAGACAAAGACAAAGAUGAUGACGAUGAAGAUGAAGACAAAGAGCAGAUAUCUCCUCUGGAAGCAAGAAGCAGACACUGGAAUUGAGUAUUUUCAGCCUUUGAGGUUUUGUAGCCCGCAAAAACAUCUUCACUGCUCCCUGGAGAACUUCUGAUCCAUCCAGCAAUAACUGAGAGAGCACGUUGGGAGAUGUCUGACAGAGUGCCU